rnacentral:rRNA from 1 species
AUUGAACGCUGGCGGCAGGCCUAACACAUGCAAGUCGAACGAGUGGCGGACGGGUGAGUAAUGUCUGGGAAACUGCCUGAUGGAGGGGGAUAACUACUGGAACCGGUAGCUAAUACCGCAUACCAUCGGAUGUGCCCAGAUGGGAUUAUCUUGUUGGUGGGGUAACGGCGCACCAAGGCGACGAUGCCUAGCGGGGCUGCGAGGAUGACCAGCCACACUGGAACUGAGACACGGUCCAGACUCCUACGGGAGGCAGCAGUGGGGAAUAUUGCACAAUGGGCGCAAGCCUGAUGCAGCCAUGCCGCGUGUAUGAAGAAGGCCUUCGGGUUGUAAAGUACUUUCAGCGGGGAGGCGUUACCCAAAGAAGAAGCCCCGGCUAACUCCGUGCCAGCCGCCGCGGUAAUUC